UGGGGAAUUUUGGACAAUGGGCGAAAGCCUGAUCCAGCAAUGCCGCGUGUGUGAAGAAGGCCUUCGGGUUGUAAAGCACUUUUGUCCGGAAAGAAAUCCUUGGCUCUAAUACAGUCGGGGGAUGACGGUACCGGAAGAAUAAGCACCGGCUAACUACGUGCCAGCAGCCGCGGUAAUACGUAGGGUGCAAGCGUUAAUCGGAAUUACUGGGCGUAAAGCGUGCGCAGGCGGUUUGCUAAGACCGAUGUGAAAUCCCCGGGCUCAACCUGGGAACUGCAUUGGGUGACUGGCAGGCUAGAGUAUGGCAGAGGGGGGUAGAAUUCCACGUGUAGCAGUGAAAUGCGUAGAGAUGUGGAGGAAUACCGAUGGCGAAGGCAGCCCCCUGGGCCAAUACUGACGCUCAUGCACGAAAGCGUGGGGAGCAAACAGGAUUAGAUACCCUGGUAGUCCACGCCCUAAACGAUGUCAACUAGUUGUUGGGGAUUCAUUCCUUAGUAACGUAGCUAACGCGUGAAGUUGACCGCCUGGGGAGUA
rnacentral:rRNA from 1 species